rnacentral:rRNA from 1 species
GGGGGGGGGGGGGGGGGGGGGGGGGGGGGGGGGGGGGGGGGGGGAGGCGCCGGCGUGCUGGGGUGGGUGAGGGGCGCACGGGUGGGUGCGCCGGGCGCGGCCUGCGCCAGGCUCUGGAAUCCGCGCGUGCACCGGCGUCUACUGCUGUAUACGACGCUGGCGCGCAUGGGCGUGCUUUGGACAGUUUUUCGGUUUUGGAUGGUCUCGCGGGCUAUCAGCUUGUUGGUGAGGUAAUGGCUCACCAAGGCGACGACGGGUCGCCGGCCUGAGAGGGCGACCGGCCACACUGGGACUGAGACACGGCCCAGACUCCUACGGGAGGCAGCAGUGGGGAAUAUUGCACAAUGGGCGAAAGCCUGAUGCAGCGACGCCGCGUGAGGGAUGACGGCCUUCGGGUUGUAAACCUCUUUCAGCAGGGAAGAAGCGAAAGUGACGGUACCUGCAGAAGAAGCACCGGCUAACUACGUG